AAACGUCUAUUGCUGCUAUAAAUAUAAUUUAUUUUUGAAAACUAAAAUGAUAUACCUUAUAUUUCAAGUCAGAAAUUGCAACUAAUUAAAGUUUGAGGAUAAAAGUGUCGCAUGUCUCAUAGCUUAAAUCAUAACAUAUAUAAUAAAGUUCGAGUAUUAAAGUGUCAUUCAUCUUAUAGUUUUAAAACAAAAAGUAUAAAUCCAGUCUUUCAAAAUUUUAUUUUUAUUAUCCAACUUUUCUAUAUAUUAGAUUUGAGUCGGUCAAUGGUAUUUUAAUUUUAAAAAUCUGAAUGUAUCGCUUAGCUCUACAUAUUUAAUUAGUAUGUUUUAUGCGAUUUUCACAACUAAAAUUUGUAAAAUAUAAAAUUAACUUAAACUCCAUUUUUAAAUAUACAAUUUAUAUCUAAAUGCUCAAUAUUAUAAAUUAAAAUUUAUAUUUAAUACAAAUAGUCUAAACUAUUUAAAACUUAUUUACAUAUUUUA
rnacentral:lncRNA from 1 species